rnacentral:rRNA from 1 species
CUGCAACUCGCCUGCGUCAAGUUGGAAUUGCUAGUAAUCGCGGAUCAGCAUGCCGCGGUGAAUACGUUCCCGGGCCUUGUACACACCGCCCGUCACACCAUGAGAGUCGGGAACACCCGAAGUCCGUAGUCUAACCGCAAGGAGGGCGCGGCCGAAGGUGGGUUCGAUAAUUGGGGUGAAGUCGUAACAAGGUAUC